UACGAAGGGUGCAAGCGUUACUCGGAAUUACUGGGCGUAAAGCGUGCGUAGGUGGUUUGUUAAGUCCGUUGUGAAAGCCCUGGGCUCAACCUGGGAAUGGCAGUGGAUACUGGCAAGCUAGAGUGCGGUAGAGGGUAGUGGAAUUCCCGGUGUAGCAGUGAAAUGCGUAGAGAUCGGGAGGAACACCAGUGGCGAAGGCGGAGCUGACCUG
rnacentral:rRNA from 1 species